CGCAUCACUGUUUUGCUUCUCCUGUGAGCUGGGCCUUGCACUAGAUUCAGUUAUAGAAACAGGUUAGACCAGGUGCUUGCUCCUGUGGACCUUAUUUUCUAAUGAAGGACACAAAGAACAAGACUAAAGAUAUAUCAGAGGUAUGAGAAAGUGGUCAUUGCUGCAAAGAACAACAAAAUAUUCACAACAGCUGAAUGCUGUCAUAGAUGGCCUGCCCAGGGGCAGUGGCCUGUAAGCCCCCCAAGGCAGCCUGUAGGAGCAGGUGCUGUUUCAGCUGAGACUUGGAUGAGUGGAUGGUGAUGUCCAAGGACACAUCUGGGGAAGAGAAUUCCAGGGAGAGGGAACUGCAAGUACAGAAGCUUGAGGACAGAUGGCACUGGCAAGGAAGAAAAAGUGAUGAUAAAACAGGGAUAUCCAUCAGAGUGAACUGGCAAAUUUUUGCAAUCUAGCCAUCUGACGAAGGGCUAAUAUCCAGAAUCUACAAAGAACUUAAACAAAUUUACAAGAAAAAAAAUCAAAAAGUGGGCAAAGGAUAUGAACAGACACUUCGCAAAAGAAGACAUUUAUGCAGCCAACAAACAUACGAAAAAAGGCUCAUCAUCACUGGUUAUUAGAGAAAUGCAAAUCAAAACCACAGUGAGAUACCAUCUCACGCCAGUUAGAAUGGCAAUCAUUAAAAAGUCAGGAAACAACAGAUACUGGAGAGGAUACGGAGAAAGAGGAAUGCUUUUACACUGUUGGUAGGAGUGUAAAUUAGUUCAACUAUUGUGGAAGACAGUGUGGUGAUUCCUCAAGGAUCUAGAACCAGAAAUACCAUUUGACCCAGCAAUUGCAUUACUGGGUAUAUACCCAAAGGAUUAUAAAUCAUUCUACUAUAAAAACACAUGCACAUGUAUGUUUACUAUGGCACUGUUCACAAUAGCAAAGAUUUGGAACCAACCCAAAUGUCCAUCAAUAAUAGACUGGAUAAAGAAAAUGUGGCACACAUGCACCAUGGAAUACUAUGCAGCCAUAAAAAGGAUGAGUUCAUGACCUUUGCAGGGACAUGGAUGAAGCUGGAAACCAUCUUUCUCAGCAAACCAACACAAGAACAGAAAGCCGAACACCGCAUGUUCUCACUCAUAAUUGGGAGUUGAACAAUGAGAACACAUGGCCACAGAGAGGGGAACAUCACACACCAGGGCCUGUCAGGAGUUGGGGGGCUACUGCAGGGAUAACAUUAGGAGAAAUACCUAAUGUAGAUGACGGGUUGAUGGGUGCAACAAACCACCAUGGCACAUGUAUACCUAUGUAACAAACCUGCACGUUAUGCCAUGUAUCCCAGAACUUAAUGUAUAAUUUAAAAAAAACAGAUAUCUAUGCAUGUGAAUGCACGUGUGUGUAAAGAUUUGAUGUAAUAUGUGAGUAUCCAAGAAAGCUUUACAGAGGAGAAGUGGAUUCUAAAGAUGGGGUUGUCAGAUGUCAUAGGAACAAAAAGCUAUAGAGGGAAAGGGAAACCCAUAUACCCUGGUGCAAGGGUGUGACUCAUGUGAGGCCUAAGAAAUGAAAUAUAAACAGCAAUGGCUGAGCAUGGAGCACCUGGGAGAAAGGA
rnacentral:lncRNA from 10 species